CCUACGGGAGGCAGCAGUGGGGAAUAUUGCACAAUGGGCGGAAGCCUGAUGCAGCGACGCCGCGUGAGGGAUGACGGCCUUCGGGUUGUAAACCUCUUUCAGCAGGGAAGAAGCCACAAGCGACGGUACCUGCAGAAGAAGCGCCGGCUAACUACGUGCCAGCAGCCGCGGUAAUACGUAGGGCGCAAGCGUUGUCCGGAAUUAUUGGGCGUAAAGAGCUCGUAGGCGGUCUGUCGCGUCUGCUGUGAAAGCCCGGGGCUUAACCCCGGGUGUGCAGUGGGUACGGGCAGACUAGAGUGCAGUAGGGGAGACUGGAAUUCCUGGUGUAGCGGUGGAAUGCGCAGAUAUCAGGAGGAACACCGAUGGCGAAGGCAGGUCUCUGGGCUGUUACUGACGCUGAGGAGCGAAAGCAUGGGGAGCGAACAGGAUUAGAUACCCUGGUAGUCCAUGCCGUAAGCGUUGGGCACUAGGUGUGGGGGACAUUCCACGUCUUCCGCGCCGUAGCUAACGCAUUAAGUGCCCCGCCUGGGGAGUACGGCCGCAAGGCUAAAACUCAAAGGAAUUGACGGGG
rnacentral:rRNA from 1 species